rnacentral:lncRNA from 1 species
CCUCCUGGUCGCCGCGCUCGUCCUCUGCGCCGCCGCCGCCAUGGCGCACGCCGGCCGCGUCAUACAAGAGGAGGCGCGGGGGUCCCGCGGCCUCGAGGCGUCGUCGUGGCUGCUGCCGCCGGCCGAGGCUCCGUCGCCGUACGCCGGUGGCGUAGAACCGAGAGGCGGCGGUAGCACCGGAGGGUACGGCAACGUCGUCGUCGACGUGCUGUGGUUCGUGCUCAAGUGGGCCAACGACGCCUACGCGGCCGCCGGCAGACGCAAGGUCCAAUGAAGCCGGCCGCCGGCGUUCGUUCUAGCUGCGUCCGUCGUGCUCUCUGGUCGCGUGGCCUGUCCCCAGGACGUAAUCUUAAUAACAAGGCACGCAUCUAUGGGUCCAUGUCAUUUGUCAGUGGAGAUUCAACGAUAAGCGGAUGAUACUUUCAUACUUCCCAUUUUGUAGCACGUUCUAACCAUGAGAUGUUGUUCGUGCAGUCUUUCGAAAUCUCACACCGCUUCCACAACAGAGCUUCUAACGAUGAUGCGCUUCUGUUCUGC